UGAUGCAGCAACGCCGCGUGCGGGAAGAAGGCCUAGGGUUGUAAACCGACUUCAGUAGGGAAGAAAAUGACGGUACCUACAGAAGAAGGUGCGGCCAACUACGUGCCAGCAGCCGCGGUGACACGUAGGCACCAAGCGUUAUCCGGAUUUAUUGGGCGUAAAGAGCUCGUAGACGGUUUGGUAAGUCGGGUGUGAAAACUCUGGGCUCAACCCAGAGAGGCCACCCGAUACUGCUAUGACUAGAGUACGGUAGGGGAGCGGGGAAUUCAUGGUGUAGCGGUGAAAUGCGCAGAUAUCAUGAGGAACACCAGCGGCGAAGGCGCCGCUCUGGGCCGUAACUGACGCUGAGGAGCGAAAGCAUGGGUAGCAAACAGGAUUAGAUACCCUGGUAGUCCAUGCCGUAAACGUUGGGCACUAGGUGUGGGUCUCAACCAACGAGAUCCGCGCCGUCGCUAACGCAUUAAGUGCCCCGCCUGGGGAGUACGGUCGCAAGACUA
rnacentral:rRNA from 1 species